rnacentral:rRNA from 1 species
GACGAACGCUUGCGGCGUGCUUAACACAUGCAAGUCGAACGGAAAGGCCCUGCUUUUGUGGGGUGCUCGAGUGGCGAACGGGUGAGUAACACGUGAGUAACCUGCCCUUGACUUUGGGAUAACUUCAGGAAACUGGGGCUAAUACCGGAUAGGAGCUCCUGCUGCAUGGUGGGGGUUGGAAAGUUUCGGCGGUUGGGGAUGGACUCGCGGCUUAUCAGCUUGUUGGUGGGGUAGUGGCUUACCAAGGCUUUGACGGGUAGCCGGCCUGAGAGGGUGACCGGCCACAUUGGGACUGAGAUACGGCCCAGACUCCUACGGGAGGCAGCAGUGGGGAAUAUUGCACAAUGGGCGGAAGCCUGAUGCAGCAACGCCGCGUGCGGGAUGACGGCCUUCGGGUUGUAAACCGCUUUCGCCUGUGACGAAGCGUGAGUGACGGUAAUGGGUAAAGAAGCACCGGCUAACUACGUGCCAGCAGCCGCGGUGAUACGUAGGGUGCGAGCGUUGUCCGGAUUUAUUGGGCGUAAAGGGCUCGUAGGUGGUUGAUCGCGUCGGAAGUGUAAUCUUGGGGCUUAACCCUGAGCGUGCUUUCGAUACGGGUUGACUUGAGGAAGGUAGGGGAGAAUGGAAUUCCUGGUGGAGCGGUGGAAUGCGCAGAUAUCAGGAGGAACACCAGUGGCGAAGGCGGUUCUCUGGGCCUUUCCUGACGCUGAGGAGCGAAAGCGUGGGGAGCGAACAGGCUUAGAUACCCUGGUAGUCCACGCUGUAAACGGUGGGUACUAGGUGUGGGGUCCGUUCCACGGGUUCCGUGCCGUAGCUAACGCUUUAAGUACCCCGCCUGGGGAGUACGGCCGCAAGGCUAAAACUCAAAGGAAUUGACGGGGCCCCGCACAAGCGGCGGAGCAUGCGGAUUAAUUCGAUGCAACGCGUAGAACCUUACCUGGGUUUGACAUGGAUCGGGAGUGCUCAGAGAUGGGUGUGCCUCUUUUGGGGUCGGUUCACAGGUGGUGCAUGGCUGUCGUCAGCUCGUGUCGUGAGAUGUUGGGUUAAGUCCCGCAACGAGCGCAACCCUUGUUCACUGUUGCCAGCACGUUAUGGUGGGGACUCAGUGGAGACCGCCGGGGUCAACUCGGAGGAAGGUGGGGAUGACGUCAAGUCAUCAUGCCCCUUAUGUCCAGGGCUUCACGCAUGCUACAAUGGCUGGUACAGAGAGUGGCGAGCCUGUGAGGGUGAGCGAAUCUCGGAAAGCCGGUCUCAGUUCGGAUUGGGGUCUGCAACUCGACCUCAUGAAGUCGGAGUCGCUAGUAAUCGCAGAUCAGCAACGCUGCGGUGAAUACGUUCCCGGGGCU